rnacentral:rRNA from 1 species
UACGUAGGGUGCGAGCGUUAAUAGGAAUUACUGGGCGUAAAGCGUGCGCAGGCGGUUUUGUAAGCCAGAUGUGAAAUCCCCGGGCUUAACCUGGGAAUGGCAUUUGGGACUGCAAGGCUUGAGUGCGGCAGAGGAGACUGGAAUUCCUGGUGUAGCAGUGAAAUGCGUAGAUAUCAGGAGGAACACCGAUGGCGAAGGCAGGUCUCUGGGCUGACACUGACGCUCAUGCACGAAAGCGUGGGGAGCAAACAGG